rnacentral:rRNA from 1 species
UACGGAGGGAGCUAGCGUUGUUCGGAAUUACUGGGCGUAAAGCGCACGUAGGCGGCUACUCAAGUCGGGGGUGAAAGCCCGGGGCUCAACCCCGGAACAGCCCUCGAAACUAGGUAGCUAGAAUCUUGGAGAGGUCAGUGGAAUUCCGAGUGUAGAGGUGAAAUUCGUAGAUAUUCGGAAGAACACCAGUGGCGAAGGCGACUGACUGGACAAGUAUUGACGCUGAGGUGCGAAAGCGUGGGGAGCAAACAGG